rnacentral:rRNA from 1 species
AUACGGAGGAUCCGAGCGUUAUCCGGAUUUAUUGGGUUUAAGGGGUGCGCAGGCGGCCAUUUAAGUCAGCGGUUAAAUCGUGGGGCUCAACCCCAUUCUGCCGUUGAUACUGGGUGGCUUGAUUGCGGUCGAGGUUGGCGGAAUUCGUUGUGUAGCGGUGAAAUGCAUAGAUAUGACGAAGAACACCGAUUGCGUAGGCAGCUGACCAGACCGCAAAUGACGCUCAUGCACGAAAGUGCGGGGAUCGAACAGGAUUAGAUACCAUGGUAGUCCGCACAGUAAACGAUGAAUACUUGUUUUCGGCGAUAUAAUGUCGGAGGCAAAGCGAAAGCGAUAAGUAUUCCACCUGGGGAGUACGCCGGCAACGGCGAAACUCAAAGGAAUUGACGGGG